rnacentral:rRNA from 1 species
AGGAUGAACGCUAGCGGGAGGCUUAACACAUGCAAGUCGAACGAGGUAGCAAUACCUAGUGGCAGACGGGUGAGUAGCGCGUGGUCAACCUACCGUUGAGUGGGGGAUAACUAGCCGAAAGGUUAGCUAAUACCGCAUACGUCUCCGAGGGGCAUCCCUUGGCGAUAAAAGGAGCAAUCCGCUCGAUGACGGGACCGCGUCCCAUUAGCUAGUUGGUGGGGUAACGGCCUACCAAGGCGUCGAUGGGUAGCUGGUUUGAGAGAGCGACCAGCCACACUGGGACUGAGAUACGGCCCAGACUCCUACGGGAGGCAGCAGUGAGGAAUUUUCCGCAAUGGGCGAAAGCCUGACGGAGCGACGCCGCGUGUGGGAAGAAGGCCUUCGGGUCGUAAACCACUGUCGAAGGGGAGAUAAUGACGGUACCCUUGGAGGAAGCCCCGGCUAACUACGCGCCAGCAGCCGC